GACGAACGCUGGCGGCGUGCUUAACACAUGCAAGUCGAACGAUGAAGCCGGAGCUUGCUCUGGUGAAUUAGUGGCGAACGGGUGAGUAACACGUGAGUAACCUGCCCUUGACUCUGGGAUAACUGCGGGAAACUGUAGCUAAUACCGGAUACGACCCUCGGAGGCAUCUCCUGGGGGUGGAAAGAAUUUCGGUCAAGGAUGGACUCGCGGCCUAUCAGCUAGUUGGUGAGGUAAAGGCUCACCAAGGCGACGACGGGUAGCCGGCCUGAGAGGGGGACAGGCCACACUGGGACUGAGUCACGGCCCAGACUCCUACGGGAGGCAGCAGUGGGGAAUAUUGCACAAUGGGCGAAAGCCUGAUGCAGCAACGCCGCGUGAGGGAUGAAGGCCUUCGGGUUGUAAACCUCUUUUAGCAGGGAAGAAGCGAAAGUGACGGUACCUGCAGAAAAAGCACCGGCUAACUACGUGCCAGCCGCCGCGGUAA
rnacentral:rRNA from 1 species